rnacentral:rRNA from 1 species
GUGAGGAAUAUUGGACAAUGGGCGCAAGCCUGAUCCAGCCAUGCCGCGUGCAGGAAGACGCAUCUAUGGUGUGUAAACUGCUUUUGUACGGGAAGAAACACUCCCUCGUGAGGGAGCUUGACGGUACCGUAAGAAUAAGGAUCGGCUAACUCCGUGCCAGCAGCCGCGGUAAUACGGAGGAUCCGAGCGUUAUCCGGAUUUAUUGGGUUUAAAGGGUCCGUAGGCGGUUUAAUAAGUCAGUGGUGAAAGCCCAUCGCUCAACGAUGGAACGGCCAUUGAUACUGUUAGACUUGAAUUACAAGGAAGUAACUAGAAUAUGUAGUGUAGCGGUGAAAUGCUUAGAUAUUACAUGGAAUACCAAUUGCGAAGGCAGGUUACUACUUGUGGAUUGACGCUGAUGGACGAAAGCGUGGGGAGCGAACAGGAUUAGAAACCCUGGUAGUCC